UACAGAGGUCUCAAGCGUUGUUCGGAUUCAUUGGGCGUAAAGGGUGCGUAGGCGGCGCGGUAAGUCGGGUGUGAAAUCUUGGAGCUUAACUCCGAAACUGCAUUCGAUACUGCCGUGCUUGAGGACUGGAGAGGAGACUGGAAUUUACGGUGUAGCGGUGAAAUGCGUAGAUAUCGUAAGGAAGACCAGUGGCGAAGGCAGCACUCUGGGCCGGUACUGACGCUGAGGAGCGAAAGCGUGGGGAGCAAACAGG
rnacentral:rRNA from 1 species